UCCGAUCUAGUGCAUUUACUGUAAACUAAGAGCCAAACCUCUAUCUAGCUAACCUAGUCUAGUCUACAACAAUUCCAUUCCAAAAUCAAUUCCAUGUUAGAAGGUCUUAUCUAGUGCAUAAGGUCUUAUCUAGUGCAUUUGAUUACUCUAUUCUAGGAGAAGGUCUUGGCGCGGGAAGGUAAGUGGAAAGGAUAGUUCGGAAUGUGCUUACGGGAACAAGAGUCGAGGUCAAUAAUUCUUUACUCCGUUGCAAUACAAUAAUAGAUUACUUUAAAGCAUCCGAAUGAGCUCUUAGUAGUUGCUUUUUAGAUGAAAAGGCAGGAAAGUCAGUAGCAAUUGAUUCUUUCCAGUGAAAAGUAGAGAUUUGAAACACACGUUGAGUUCGUAUAAACUACUAUGAUGCUACUAAGCAAAGGAGUUGUGUUGAAGAAACCAUAUCAGUUGCUGUAGCUAUAUAUCCUAUCCUGAGUAGGAACACAAGAAAAAGCUGUUGUCGGUUCUUAAGCAGUACCCAGAGUAGGAGAUAAGAAGCUUGAUCUUUACUGGGAUCUCUAGUGCAAGAAACCCAGAACUAUAAAUUGACAUUUAAAACAUAACAUACGAGAGAGAUUCUUUGCUUUGAGAAGAACUCCUCCGCGGACUUUACUUGUUCCGUAGCUUGUUAGUGUGCGAAAGCCAUUGCUUAUUGGAAAUAGUGGAAGAGGCUUGAGAAAUAGUAUAAGGGUAUUGCAUAGAAAGGGUCAUCUUACAUAUAUCUGAUUUUCUUAACUUCAAGUAUGGUUUUCUCCGUUAUCGAGGUUGAAGCAGAAGACAUAGAAUCAUAAGGUGAAAGAGAUCAGGGACAAGCAAAUCGGGAACAGGAUCCGUUUUCGAGUAAGGAGCAGUAUUGUUACUUUCUUCUAUUAUAGGAGAGGUCACUCCCAUUCAACUUCAAGGAGAGGUCGGUCAGAGAAGCAGUAAGGUCUGAUUCCUAAGAUAGGGAAGCAGUGUUGUUACAUGAUGCUCUCAUUGGUGCUCGAUAAGAAAUGACUGGUGUUCGAUAGACUCAAUUCACAUCAUUUCCAGUAUCAGGAUCAUCAGCAGUGAGAAAGUCAUCCCCUUAUUGCAGUUUCAUCUGCUUAUGUCUCUAAGGCAGUAGCUCCAAGUCGAGUUCGGGCAAGACGAACACCGGGAGUUAGGGCGGACAGGCAACUACUAAGUCCUUAGUUGGAGGCUUUGAAGCGCGGUGUCCUGAAACACCGGAUGGGGUAUACUAUAUAACUCCUAACAUAAGUCUAUAAGUAUUUGAAUAGUCAUAGUAUAAGUACUUACUAAUACAUCGAUAGGAAAUGAAUUAUGAGUUUAAGCGAUCAAGACUAAGUGCGCGUAUAAAGGAGUUGUUGACCACUAGAAUCAAUG
rnacentral:lncRNA from 1 species